rnacentral:rRNA from 1 species
UACAGAGGGUGCGAGCGUUAAUCGGAAUUACUGGGCGUAAAGCGUGCGUAGACGGUUAUUUAAGUCGGAUGUGAAAGCCCCGGGCUCAACCUGGGAAUUGCAUUCGAGACUGAAUAGCUAGGGUGCGGUAGAGGGAAGCGGAAUUUCCGGUGUAGCGGUGAAAUGCGUAGAUAUGCGGAGGAACACCGAUGGCGAAGGGCAGUCCCCCUGGGCCUGUACGUGACGCUCAUGCACGAAAGCGUGGGGAGCAAACAGG